CUCCCUUUUUCUUUUUCAUUUGAAAUUUUUCCCCCGCUCUUGGUGGGGCUACGGGAGUCCGACUCCCGUAAGCGAAGUCGGGGCGAAGUCCGGCUCCCGUGGGAGUCCGGACGGAGUUUACUUGCAAUUGAAGUCAGAGGCAAAAUCUGGCUCCCGGAUGGAACUUACCAGCGGUCGAAUUCGGGGAUGAAGCCCGACUCCCGUAGGAGUCCGGGCGGAGUCCACCUGCAGUUGGUGUCGGGGGCGAAGUCCGGCCUCUGUAAGAGUCUGGACUGUAGCUGGAGUUGGAGACGUGAUCUGGCUCUCGUAGGAGUCUGGAUGAAGCCCACCUGCAAUCAAGGUCAGGGAUGAAGUCCGGCUCCCGUAGGAGUCCGGACGAGGUUUACCUGCAACUGGAGUCGUGGGCGGAGUCCGGCUCCCGUAGGAGCCCGAGCGGAGUCUGCAGGUGGAGUCGCGGGCGAGGUCCAGUUCCCGUAGGAGCCCGGACGAAGUUUAUCUACAAUUAGAGUCAGGACGGAGUCCGUCUCCCAUAGGAGUCCGGACGAGGCCUACCUGCAGCUGGAGUCGUGGGCGGAGUCCGGCUCCCGUAGGAGUCCGGAUGAGGUCUGUCUGCAGCCGGAGUCAGGGACAAGGCCCGGCUCCCGUAGGGGUCCGGGCGGAGUCUUCCUGCAAUUAAAGUCAGAGGCGGAGUCCGGCUCCCAUAGGAGUCCGGGCGAAGCUUACCAGCGGUUGAAGUUGGUGACGGAGCCCGGCUCCCGUGGGAGUCCGGGCGGAGUCUUCCUUACGGUUGAAGUUGGUGACGGAGCCCGGCUCCCGUGGGAGUCCGGGCGGAGUCUUCUUCACGGUUGAAGUUGGAGACGGAGCCCGGCUCCCGUAGGAGUCCGGGCGGAGUCUUCCUCACGGUUGAAGUUGGAGACGGAGCCCGGCUCCCAUAGGAGUCCGGACGGCGCUUACCAGCAGUUGUAGUUGUGGACGAAGCCCGGCUCCCGUAGGAGUCCAGGCGG
rnacentral:lncRNA from 1 species